rnacentral:rRNA from 1 species
GAUGAACGCUGGCGGCGUGCCUAAUACAUGCAAGUCGAGCGAACAGACGAGGAGCUUGCUCCUCUGACGUUAGCGGCGGACGGGUGAGUAACACGUGGAUAACCUACCUAUAAGACUGGGAUAACUUCGGGAAACCGGAGCUAAUACCGGAUAAUAUAUUGAACCGCUUGGUUCAAUAGUUAAAGACGGCUUUGCCGUCACUGAUAGAUGGAUCCGCGCCGCAUUAGCUAGUUGGUAAGGUAACGGCUUACCAAGGCAACGAUGCGUAGCCGACCUGAGAGGGUGAUCGGCCACACUGGAACUGAGACACGGUCCAGACUCCUACGGGAGGCAGCAGUAGGGAAUCUUCCGCAAUGGGCGAAAGCUUGACGGAGCAACGCCGCGUGAGUGAUGAAGGUCUUCGGAUCGUAAAACUCUGUUAUUAGGAAAGAACAAAUGUGUAAGUAACUAUGCACGUCUUGACGGUACCUAAUCAGAAAGCCACGGCUAACUACGUG